rnacentral:misc_RNA from 1 species
AUUAGGAUGAUGACAGAAAGCCUUUCAUGAUCAUGCUCAUUGAAAGCCAACGAAAGCAAAUGCUGAAAUGCAAGUUGUAAAUUCAAGUUAUUAGGUCACUAUUUGAGAAGAAAAUGAGAUGGUUUCUUUCAUUAUUUGCCACCACCAUGUUCCAUUACCAUCAUCUUUCCCUUCCAUUUGUAAACAUAACAGCAAACAUAAGAUUGAACUCUACAGAACAUAAGAUCACAGAUUUUAUGGAUGAUGUAAAAGAUGCUCAAUUACUCAUACAGUUAUCAUAA